rnacentral:tRNA from 1 species
GGAGGAAUGGCCGAGUGGUCGAAGGCGGCGGUCUUGAAAACCGUUGAUCGAAAGGUCCGUGGGUUCGAAUCCUACUUCCUCCG